AAACACACAAGAGUUCAUUCUUCAACUGGUUCUAUCUUUCCAUAAACAUCGGUGCUCUUAUUGCAGGCUCGGUGCUGGUUUGGGUACAAGAUAAUGUGAGCUGGGGAUGGGGUUUAGGCAUCCCAGCUAUAGCUAUGGCAAUAGCUGUCUGCUUUUUCUUUUCGGGUACUCGUUUGUAUCGGAACCAAGUGCCUGGAGGCAGCCCUAUCACACGCCUGUUUCAGGUAUUGGUGGCAUCCAUCAGGAAAUAUAAAGUUGCAGUACCUGCAAAUAAGUCUCUUUUACAUGAGACAGCAGAUAAAGAGUCCAAUAUCAAAG
rnacentral:lncRNA from 1 species